GGUAAGGCUGCUGCUGUUUUUUGCCUUUGGCGGAUAUCGUGGUUUUGUCAGGGACUAUUUGUCUCCUUCUAAACGUACUCCUCCACAACAACAGGAUGCUGUUGCCAGGAAGUGGUAUUCAUGAAGGCAGCAAUGCUGAGACAAACCAAAAGUCCAAAAAGUCCUUUACACCACUCCAUGGCUCAACAUUGCUGCCAUCGUGGUGGUGUGAAAGGUAACAGUACAGAAAGAGAAAGAGAAAAGCUAGAAAAAGCGCAGUACUGUCACU